rnacentral:sRNA from 1 species
CGUCGCUGUUGCCAGCGGUUAAGCAACAGACUGGGACUCAUCAAUCCCGGACCGAAAAAAAUACGCGCAGGUGUCACUUGAAUGAGCCUGCCCAACAAGAAAAUUCGGAUGUACGCGCAUCUCGGUUUGAGAUGUGUUCGCCC